AGAGUUUGAUCAUGGCUCAGAUUGAACGCUGGCGGCAGGCCUAACACAUGCAAGUCGAACGGUAACAGAAAGCAGCUUGCUGCUUUGCUGACGAGUGGCGGACGGGUGAGUAAUGUCUGGGAAACUGCCUGAUGGAGGGGGAUAACUACUGGAAACGGUAGCUAAUACCGCAUAACGUCGCAAGACCAAAGAGGGGGACCUUAGGGCCUCUUGCCAUCGGAUGCCCAGAUGGGAUUAGCUAGUAGGUGGGGUAAAGGCUCACCUAGGCGACGAUCCCUAGCUGGUCUGAGAGGAUGACCAGCCACACUGGAACUGAGACACGGUCCAGACUCCUACGGGAGGCAGCAGUGGGGAAUAUUGCACAAUGGGCGCAAGCCUGAUGCAGCCAUGCCGCGUGUAUGAAGAAGGCCUUCGGGUUGUAAAGUCUUUUCAGCGGGGAGGAAGGGAGUAAAGUUAAUACCUUUGCUCAUUGACGUUACCCGCAGAAGAAGCACCGGCUAACUCCGUGCCAGCAGCCGCGGUAAUACGGAGGGUGCAAGCGUUAAUCGGAAUUACUGGUCGUAAAGCGCACGCGCGCGGUUUGUUAAGUCAGAUGUGAAAUCCCCGGGCUCAACCUGCUAACUGCAUCUGAUACUGGCAAGCUUGAGUCUCGUAGAGGGGGGUAGAAUUCCCGUGUAGCGGUGAAAUGCGUAGAGAUCUGGAGGAAUACCGGUGGCGAAGGCUGUUCGCUGCACGAAGACUGACGCUCAAGUGCGAAAGCGUGCGGAGCAGACUGGAUUAGAUACCCUGGUACUCCACAC
rnacentral:rRNA from 1 species